rnacentral:rRNA from 1 species
CAGCAGCCACGGGAAUACGUAGGGUGCAAGCGUUAAUCGGAAUUACUGGGCGUAAAGCGUGCGUAGGCGGCUUCUUAAGUCGGAUGUGAAAUCCCUGAGCUUAACUUAGGAAUUGCAUUCGAUACUGGGAAGCUAGAGUAUGGGAGAGGAUGGUAGAAUUCCAGGUGUAGCGGUGAAAUGCGUAGAGAUCUGGAGGAAUACCGAUGGCGAAGGCAGCCAUCUGGCCUAAUACUGACGCUGAGGUACGAAAGCAUGGGGAGCAAACAGGAUUAGAUACCCCGGUAGUCCCUGUCUCUUAUAC